rnacentral:tRNA from 1 species
GGGAAUGUAGUUAAAAAUAAUAUUUAAUUUGCAAUUAAAAGGUAUCAAUAUGAUCUUUCUCA